UACGUAGGGGGCUAGCGUUAUCCGGAAUUACUGGGCGUAAAGCGUGCGCAGGCGGUUUUGUAAGCCAGAUGUGAAAUCCCCGGGCUCAACCUGGGAAUGGCAUUUGGGACUGCAAGGCUGGAGUUUGGCAGAGGAGACUGGAAUUCCUGGUGUAGCAGUGAAAUGCGUAGAUAUCAGGAGGAAUACCGAUGGCGAAGGCAGGUCUCUGGGCUAUAACUGACGCUCAUGCACGAAAGCGUGGGGAGCAAGCAGG
rnacentral:rRNA from 1 species